GUAGUCCAUGCCGUAAACGUUGGGAACUAGAUGUAGGGACCAUUCCACGGUUUCUGUGUCGCAGCUAACGCAUUAAGUUCCCCGCCUGGGGAGUACGGCCGCAAGGCUAAAACUCAAAGGAAUUGACGGGGGCCCGCACAAGCGGCGGAGCAUGCGGAUUAAUUCGAUGCAACGCGAAGAACCUUACCAAGGCUUGACAUAUACGAGAACGCUUUAGAAAUAAAGCACUCUUUGGACACUCGUAAACAGGUGGUGCAUGGUUGUCGUCAGCUCGUGUCGUGAGAUGUUGGGUUAAGUCCCGCAACGAGCGCAACCCUCGUCGUAUGUUGCCAGCACGUAAUGGUGGGAAC
rnacentral:rRNA from 1 species